rnacentral:sRNA from 1 species
GGUGAGCUCAGAGUCCCCCUUCUAUGUCUCCAAGACAGAAGAACAGCAAAAUAUCCCUGGCCGAUCCUCGGAGGAUGCGAGAACCAAGAGAUUGCGCUCCCAGAGAACAGAAAGGAGAAGUUGAGAACCUUAACCUGCGGGAGACCGUUAGGGAAUCAGGUGACUCUAACCAUGACAGAAGGACACAUUUCCCGGUUUGAAAACUAAGGUGUUAGACGGAGGAGCAGGCCCUGACCGGGAUCCGACCCCACGGGUCCCUUCCGAGAACCCUCACCAAGUGUACCAUAACCCCGAGGAUCCAAUCUUGCGCACCCUGGACUUCAGAGAGCCUCCACGGGUGAUUCCUGACCCGGCAGGUGCAGGUCCGGGUGCGGGUCCGAGUUCGCCAAGGGAAUAACAUGUGACGCAAAGAGCCCCUUUCUCUUGCAAUGUCCACUGUCCUGGGGUCGCAUCUUUGCGUUCAGGUUUGCAAUUUUGAUUUUCCAAAAGGGUUAAGUCUCUUACUUAAUCACAUCUGGCUCCUGGGUGAAAGAUUGCAGCUGUCACACGUGCACCGUGUGUGGGAGCAGAGGUGGGGGAGGUCAGGGUAUAAUGGACCGCUCUGAGGGUUUCAGACAAGGUGAUCCGCUAAGAACGCCUCUUAAACCCUUUCCAGGCUACAUGCCCUGUGGGCUUCAGGGACUCCUGUCCGAUAACCCCUCAAGUAACAAUCCACUAACCUGCCCGACCUUCUCAGUCUGCACAGCCCUUGCCUAGAUACCUCCUUUUCUGGGGAGUCAAAAGUUCUGAGCCACAUGCCUAUUUUUCGCCCCUAGACUAAAUCCUAGAAAGGACAUUCUCUCUCACUCCACUGCCCCACCCCUGUGAGCCCUCGAGCCACCUUUUUGUUGCCUCAUCUCCCCUCCUGCCCAGUGACCUCGGGGUCAGAAACUCCCUUGGGUGUUUUUGGGCUUCCACUUCUCUGGCUUCUUCACAUCCUGUAAUGCGCAGGGUCGUGUUGCUUUCUAGAACGUUCUCCGUGUAGCUGUGGCUUUCAGAAUGGGCACUCACAUUCUCCCCCUUUCAUAGAGACACCUCCCUUCCCAUUUCCAAAUCAUCCAGUAAAGAAGCCAAGGCCCCUCUUGGGAAGCCUGUCCAUUGCCAAGCAUCUCUUUCACAUCUGGAACACAUUUGGUCUCUUCUCUGUCACCCCCUGCCCCUUCCACAGAACUCCUCAUGGUCCUCAGGUCAGUCCCUUGUUCAGACAGACGCUGUCCUUCUCCAGAACUUUAUUCCUAUCUUAGGGAAUGUUGGGUCCUGUGCCCCACCUAUGAGUCCCCUCACUGGUGAGCUGGUCCACCUUCCAGUGCCCAGGAGGCAGAUCCUGUUUUGUACUUGUCUAUAAGGUCCGCCAGAAGACCCUGCCAGGAUUCGGGGCACGGGAUGCUCUCAGAGGCCGUGUCUUCUGUGCUUCUAUUUUCAGAAGAGUCCACCAGAGAUCCUGACAGGGAGCCGCCCUUUCUGUUUUGAUCCAGGCAAUGGCCAGAAGGCAAAGCUCCUGCUUCCUGACCUGCGUGAGUUCCAGUUCUGACUU